UACGAAGGGAGCUAGCGUUGUUCGGAAUCACUGGGCGUAAAGCGCACGUAGGCGGAUGUGUCAGUCAGGGGUGAAAUCCCGGAGCUCAACUUCGGAACUGCCUUUGAUACAGCACGUCUUGAGUCCGAUAGAGGUGGGUGGAAUUCCUAGUGUAGAGGUGAAAUUCGUAGAUAUUAGGAAGAACACCAGUGGCGAAGGCGGCUCACUGGCCCGGUACUGACGCUCAUGUGCGAAAGCGUGGGGAGCAAACAGG
rnacentral:rRNA from 1 species